UGUUCAGCCUGGUCUGGAGACGUUGCCUAGACAACGUUGGAGGGUAGGUCUCACCCACCCAUAACACACUACGUGAAUCGGGCAAGACUGCCAGGGAAACAGAGCAGUGGAAA
rnacentral:SRP_RNA from 16 species